rnacentral:rRNA from 1 species
AGAGUUUGAUCCUGGCUCAGGAUGAAGCUGCGGCUUAACACAUGCAAGUCGAACGGAGNNGAAAUACUUAGUGGGGACGGGUGAGUAACGCGGAGAAUCUGCCUUCAGGACGGAGACAACAGUUGGAAACGACUGCUAAGCCCCGAUGAACCGAAAGGGAAAAUAUUUAUAGCCUGAAGAUGAGCUCGCGUCCGAUUAGCUAGUUGGCGGAGUAAAAGCCCACCAAGGCGACGAUCGGUAGCUGGUCUGAGAGGACGAUCAGCCACACUGGGACUGAGACACGGCCCAGACUCCUACGGGAGGCAGCAGUGGGGAAUUUUCCGCAAUGGGCGAAAGCUGACGGAGCAAGACCGCGUGGGGGAAGAAGGCUCUUGGGUUGUAAACCCCUUUUCUCUGGGAAGAAAGUUGUGAAAGCAACUGACGGUACCAGAGGAAUCAGCAUCGGCUACUCCGUGCCAGAGCCGCGGUAAGACGGAGGAUGCAAGCGUUAUCCGGAAUGAUUGGGCGUAAACGUCCGCAGGUGGCAGUUCAAGUCUGCUGUCAAAGCCGGGGCUUAACUUCGGAAAGGCAGUGGAAACUGAACAGCUAGAGUAUGGUAGGGGCAGAGGGAAUUCCUGGUGUAGCGGUGAAAUGCGUAGAGAUCAGGAAGAACAUCGGUGGCGAAGGNNCUCUGCUGGCCAUAACUGACACUCAGGGACGAAAGCUAGGGGAGCGAAUGGGAUUAGAUACCCUAGUAGUCC